GGAUGUGAGGGCAAUCUGGCUGCGACAUCUAUCAUCCCAUUGAUUGCCAGGAUUGAUUCAGCUGAUCUGGCGGGCUAGGUGGGUGUCCCCUUCCUCCAUCACCACUCCAUGUGAUGUGCAUCCCUCCUGAAGCUGCGCACUGGGUCAAAGAGGAUGACCAUCCCCAAGAGAGUAGGACCGGUCUUCAAUAAAGGGUAUACCAGUAUCUGUGCUCCCCUGAUAGAACCUCCAAACAAAGAGCCAACUUCUCCUGCUAAAUGCCAUGCUGGUUGCAUUCCAGU
rnacentral:snRNA from 1 species